GGCCUUUAGCUCAGUAGUAGAGCGACAGACUUCGGUCUCAAUCGCAUUCUGUAGGUCGCGGGUUCAACUCCCGUAGGGCUCU
rnacentral:tRNA from 1 species